rnacentral:tRNA from 3 species
GGCCCCAUCGUCUAACGGUUAGGACGUGACUCUUUCAAGGUCAAAACAGGGGUUCGACUCCCCUUGGGGUCA